AGAUUGAACGCUGGCGGAAUGCUUUACACAUGCAAGUCGAACGGCAGCACGGGGGGCAACCCUGGUGGCGAGUGGCGAACGGGUGAGUAAUACAUCGGAACGUGCCCAGUCGUGGGGGAUAACGUAGCGAAAGCUACGCUAAUACCGCAUACGAACUCUGGUUGAAAGCGGGGGACUCGCAAGAGCCUCGCGCGAUUGGAGCGGCCGAUGGCAGAUUAGGUAGUUGGUGGGGUAAAGGCUCACCAAGCCUGCGAUCUGUAGCUGGUCUGAGAGGACGACCAGCCGACA
rnacentral:rRNA from 1 species